GAUGAACGCUGGCGGCGUGCUUAAUACAUGCAAGUCGAGCGAAUGGAUUAAGAGCUUGCUCUUAUGAAGUUAGCGGCGGACGGGUGAGUAACACGUGGGUAACCUGCCCAUAAGACUGGGAUAACUCCGGGAAACCGGGGCUAAUACCGGAUAACAUUUUGAACCGCAUGGUUCGAAAUUGAAAGGCGGCUUCGGCUGUCACUUAUGGAUGGACCCGCGUCGCAUUAGCUAGUUGGUGAGGUAACGGCUCACCAAGGCAACGAUGCGUAGCCGACCUGAGAGGGUGAUCGGCCACACUGGGACUGAGACACGGCCCAGACUCCUACGGGAGGCAGCAGUAGGGAAUCUUCCGCAAUGGACGAAAGUCUGACGGAGCAACGCCGCGUGAGUGAUGAAGGCUUUCGGGUCGUAAAACUCAGUUGUUAGGGAAGAACAAGUGCUAGUUGAAUAAGCUGGCACCUUGACGGUACCUAGCCAGAAAGCCACGGCUAACUACGUGCCAGCCGCCGCGGUAA
rnacentral:rRNA from 1 species